GGAGAGGUGGCUGAGUCUGGUCGAAGGCGCUCGCCUGGAGAGCGAGUAGGCGGAAGGUCUCCGCCUCGUGGGUUCGAAUCCCACCCUCUCCGCCA
rnacentral:tRNA from 1 species